UACGUAGGUGGCAAGCGUUAUCCGGAAUUAUUGGGCGUAAAGCGCGCGCAGGCGGUCCUUUAAGUCUGAUGUGAAAGCCCACGGCUCAACCGUGGAGGGUCAUUGGAAACUGGGGGACUUGAGUACAGAAGAGAAGAGUGGAAUUCCACGUGUAGCGGUGAAAUGCGUAGAGAUGUGGAGGAACACCAGUGGCGAAGGCGACUCUUUGGUCUGUAACUGACGCUGAGGCGCGAAAGCGUGGGGAGCAAACAGG
rnacentral:rRNA from 1 species